rnacentral:rRNA from 1 species
AUUGAACGCUGGCGGCAUGCCUUACACAUGCAAGUCGAACGGUAACGCGGGGCAACCUGGCGACGAGUGGCGAACGGGUGAGUAAUGUAUCGGAACGUGCCCAGUUGUGGGGGAUAACUGCUCGAAAGAGCAGCUAAUACCGCAUACGACCUGAGGGUGAAAGCGGGGGAUCGCAAGACCUCGCGCAAUUGGAGCGGCCGAUAUCAGAUUAGGUAGGUGGUGGGGUAAAGGCCCACCAAGCCAACGAUCUGUAGCUGGUCUGAGAGGACGACCAGCGACCCUGGGACUGAGAUACGGCCCAGACUCCUACGGGAGGCAGCGGUGGGGAAUCUUGGAGAAUGGACGCAAGUCUGAUCCAGCCAUGCCGCGUGCGGGAAGAAGGCCUUCGGGUUGUAAACCGCUUUUGUCAGGGAAGAAACGCUCUGGGUUAAUACCUCGGGGUAAUGACGGUACCUCAAGAAUAAGCACCGGCUAACUACGUGCCAGCCGCCGCGGUAACAC